rnacentral:sRNA from 1 species
GCCGGGCAUGGUGGCUCAUGCCUGUAAUCCCAUCACUUUGGGAGGCUGAGGUGGGUGGAUCACUUGAGGACAGGAGUUCAAGACCAGCCUGGCCAACAUGGUGAAACCCCAUCUCUA